rnacentral:rRNA from 1 species
GAUGAACGCUAGCGGCAGGCUUAACACAUGCAAGUCGAGGGGCAUCACGGGUAGCAAUACCUGGUGGCGACCGGCGCAAGGGUGCGUAACGCGUGAGCAACAUGCCCUAUACAGGGGGAUAAUCCAGGGAAACUUGGUCUAAUAUCCCAUAGCAUUUAGAGGUGGCAUCACCAUUAAAUUAAAGCUUCGGUGGUAUAGGAUUGGCUCGCGUGACAUUAGCUAGAUGGUGGGGUAACGGCUCACCAUGGCUAUGAUGUCUAGGGGUUCUGAGAGGAAGGUCCCCCACACUGGUACUGAGACACGGACCAGACUCCUACGGGAGGCAGCAGUGAGGAAUAUUGGUCAAUGGGCGAGAGCCUGAACCAGCCAAGUCGCGUGAAGGAAGAAGGUUCUAUGGAUUGUAAACUUCUUUUGCAGGGGAAUAAAGGACGGUAUGUGUACUGUUUUGUAUGUACCUUGCGAAUAAGCAUCGGCUAACUCCGUG